GCUGAUUGAGAUUCAGUACAGCAUGUUACGUUAAAUAAGUCGCGCGAUUAUUUUUUAUUUGACUAGUGUAAAAUCGAAUCAAAAGAUAGAUUGAAAAAUUAUUGAAUCGAGAAAACGAUUCUUGUGACGUAAGAGAGGGGGAGGAAACAUCGCAUCGUUUAGCCGUUCGGAGUUCGGAAUUGUCAAGUAUUGUAAAAACAGCAUCGGUGAAUAGAUUGUCUUUAUAAACAAUGGAUAACUCUCCGUUGCAAAAAGUGGAACUGCAAACAGAUGUCUAUAUGGUGUGUUUACAACAUGCUUUAUCAACAGAAAACUUUGAAGUGAUGGGUUUACUUAUCGGCAAUUUUGCAUGUGGAAUAGCAAAAAUAUCAGCUGUUAUCAUUUUACGACGUUUAGACAAAAAGAAAGACAGGGUAGAAAUCUCUUCUGAACAAUUACUGAAAGCUGCUAGCGAAGCUGAGCGAUUAACAGUGGAAUUAAAUCGACCUAUGCGUGUUCUUGGCUGGUAUCAUUCCCAUCCACAUAUUACAGUUUGUCCUUCACAUGUAGAUGUGAGAACUCAAGCUACUUAUCAAACAAUGGAUCAUAGUUUUGUAGGCUUAAUAUUUUCAGUAUUUUCAGAAGGCAAAGACUCAAAGGAACACGAGAUAUUUUUAAAUUGCUUUCAAUCAGAUAAUGGUGAAGCCACAGAAAUACCAUUAGAAAUUGUACAUACUCCAGAUAUUUCGGAUAGAUGUUUGAGAACAAUGACAGAUCUGUCAAAAAUUUUGGUACAAGAAGAAGAAGAUAUGGCUGAAACUUGUAAAGAUCAUCCAGAUAUCCUUGCCAGCAUUCAUAAUAACGCUGUCAGAACACGUGCGUUGAUUCACAUAACAGAUAUUAUUACGAAGCCUUUGGUACAAACAUUUGAAAAGAGAAUAGCAUUGAAUAAAUUGCGUGCUAUGCAUCUUCAAAGACAAUUACAGGAGUUACAGAAGAUGUGUAAUGGAUAAAAACUUUUGAGAAAGAGAAAGUAUGACAAUUUAAAUCGUGAUAUAAAUUACAAUUUAUUUAUUCUGCAGAACGAGAAAGAUGUAUAGGAUGAGAGGGACUACGUGCUAACCUUUUGCGAGGCAGCUUUUCGAGUGUAGUUAACAGCUUUGCAAAAUCAGGACGUUUUUCUGCAUGGUAUGACCAACAAUGCAUUAAAAUGUCCUAAAAAAA